rnacentral:rRNA from 1 species
UACGUAGGGGGCAAGCGUUGUCCGGAUUUAUUGGGCGUAAAGAGCGUGUAGGCGGCCAUACAGGUCAGCUGUGAAAACUCGAGGCUCAACCUCGAGACGUCGGUUGAAACCGUAUGGCUAGAGUCCGGAAGAGGAGAGUGGAAUUCCCGGUGUAGCGGUGAAAUGCGCAGAUAUCGGGAGGAACACCGGUGGCGAAGGCGGGUCUCUGGGCCGAUACUGACGCUGAGGAGCGAAAGCGUGGGGAGCGAACAGG